AGACCUUAGUUUAUCUUCAGAUCAAAUAAAUCUUUUGCCUUUUACUAAAGAUUUCCAAGGAUAGGAAUAACCAAGAGUUUUUGCCUAAUUUUUCAAGGCCUCAUUUCUACGUAUGUGU